GUUCAUAUUUUAUUUUUUAUUUAUAAUAAAUGAAUACAAAAAUAAACAAACCAGAUAAUACUAAUAAUCUUAUAAGCAUUUUAAGGGUACAAAUAAUUCUUAUGGAAUUCACACUUUGUAUCACAAUGUCAGAUUUGUCAUGGAAAAUGUGCUAUGUCUGUAUUAUUAAUCUAGUCUGAAGUCAAUAUUAAUGGGUCUUUCACCACAAUAGUUAUCUUAUGAACAUAACAAACCCUGUAGAAAAUUAAAUGAUUUAGAAUUUCGCAUAUGUCAAUGAUGAGCAGGUUAAAUUAGUGACUGAGUGCUUGUUUAAGUUUAAGUCAUUAAAACAGUAUCAGCUAUAUCAUUUUCCCCAUUUUGUUCUUUUUAAAGUUUAGACAUAUAUGCAAUUAAAUUUUUUAGUAUUUUGUUUUUAAAACUGAAGUAUAUUUAUAAAAUCUGUAUCAUAAAAUGGAAAAUUUUAAAGUGAAAAAAAAACAAAACAAUAAGGCCACACCAAUUUAAUUUCUUGUUCUACGGUUUUUUGGACUCCAAAAAUUUGGGGCGAGCGAGCGAUUUAAAAAAAUAUUUGAUUUGAAAAUUUUUGAGGCGAAGCUGGAAAAGUAAAGGCGAGCGAUUAUAAUUUUUUUUUGCAAACAUAAAUAGUAGGUUUUGACAAUAUUAAAACUCAUAUUUAUGACUCGUACUUUGACAUUUCUUUAAUUUAUGAAGUAUUUUUUCCCUGUUCACCAUGUUCACCAAGAAAUAAUUGUAUAAUUAAAUCUGGUCUAUGUAUGUGUGACAUACAAUGGGCCAAUUCUCCAUCUACAUUAAGUCAUAAUCAGCUGGUUGGGAACAACCCCUUAAUGUUAUAAUGUAAAUAUCCCUUUUAUGAGGGGUCAAUAUCUUAAAGUCAUAAUAUAUUUCUUUGUAAAAAACAUCUUUUAGUAGAAAAGGGCUCAUAUGUUCCCAAAGAUCUAUAUAUCUAUCUUGUAUUAAAUGGUCAAAACAUGUCCAAGAAUUUUGUAAUAUUCCUGGACUUAAACCAUGUUAACACAUUUACUUUAUAA
rnacentral:lncRNA from 1 species